UCUCGCACACACACCAGCUGUACCUGAGAACUGGAUGAGCCAAGACACAACAAACUACUGAAGUAUCAAGUGGAAACAGGAUACAGAAGGCAGAAGCUGAGCAAAACCUGAGGAAAGAAACAGUCAUCAGUAAACGCUUUCUUCAAAACACUGCAAAUGGGAAAUAAAAACUCUGGUAACAGUGGGAAUCAUCAAAGUGCUAGACCAGUGGUUUAUGAUUAUGAAAAAACUAUAUUAAGAGAAGAACUUAAUAAAGCGCAACGUGAAAUUGAAUAUGAGAGAAAUAUACGGAAAUCGAGAGAAGAAGAGAAGAGGAGAAUCGACAUUGCGAACAGGGCUAAAGAGGAAGAAGAAAGGAAAAGAAUUUGCAAAGAGAAGCAAAAUGCAUAAACAAACAAGACAGUCUGUGAAUCCGUAUUUAUGGUUUAUUAAAGGAAGUUAUUUUUAAUUUCUAUUCAUCCUACAAAAGAUACAUGUACAUCACCUAAAACACUGUGAAGAUUUUACUUUUCUUCUUCCAUAUGUCUGCUGUAAAGCACUUUCUAAACUUUUGGUUUUAA